rnacentral:rRNA from 1 species
UACGGAGGGGGCUAGCGUUGCUCGGAAUCACUGGGCGUAAAGCGCACGUAGGCGGAUUGCUAAGUCAGGGGUGAAAUCCUGGAGCUCAACUCCAGAACUGCCCUUGAUACUGGCGGUCUCGAGUCCGGGAGAGGUGAGUGGAACUGCGAGUGUAGAGGUGAAAUUCGUAGAUAUUCGCAAGAACACCAGUGGCGAAGGCGGCUCACUGGCCCGGUACUGACGCUGAGGUGCGAAAGCGUGGGGAGCAAACAGG